rnacentral:rRNA from 1 species
CAGUCGCCGCGGGAACACGGGGGGUGCGAGCGUUAAUCGGAAUAACUGGGCGUAAAGGGCACGCAGGCGGUUAUUUAAGUGAGGUGUGAAAGCCCCGGGCUUAACCUGGGAACUGCAUUUCAGACUGGGUAACUAGAGUACUUUAGGGAGGGGUAGAAUUCCACGUGUAGCGGUGAAAUGCGUAGAGAUGUGGAGGAGUACCGAAGGCGAAGGCAGCCCCUUGGGAAUGUACUGACGCUCAUGUGCGAAAGCGUGGGGAGCAAACAGGAUUAGAUACCCCGGUAGUCCCUGUCUCUUAUAC